rnacentral:misc_RNA from 1 species
CCGAGUUCUCAGCAGCUCCCAACCCGUGUGAACCGUACCCCCUUCUGUUCUCGUUGCUUCCGGCGGGGGCCCUCCAGGCUUGCUUGCCUGGGGCGCCCGCCGGGGGCGGCCUGCCCCUGAACCUUCUACAAGAAAACCCGUCUCCGGACUGUCUGAGUGGAUUUCUAGCAAAUCAAAUCA